UACUUUUCUCUUUCUUUGUAUGCCACAAUAUUUUUGUGGAAAACUAGAUAUUUUAAAUUGCAUAAUAUGAAAAAUGUUGACAUCAGAAUUCCUCACUUUCAUAUUUGUUGUUGUUGCUAUGUUGUAACACAGUGUGUGUCAGUGUAUGCCUUCAAGAUUUCAUUGAUUAACAACUCUACCUUAGUCUUCACAUCCUGCUUUGUAGAGUCUCAUCAUCAGCCAGAGGUGAGAGAUUAUGGCCUUUCCUACUGUUCCUGGGCAAGCACAUUGCCCUGCACAUGUUCAUGGCCUUCUAGAUCUCUAGAUGUAUGUCUUCCUAAGAACAUUUUAUUCCCCAUAUUCCUUAAAGAUUUAGAACUUUAAGACCUAAAGUUUUUGGUUAGUUUCUGUUUGUUUGUUCCAAUUGGUAUUGCUGCCCUAAUCGGCUGUGAUAAACAGUUACCACUGAUUGUUUCUGACAAAUGUCUUGGGUAUAGAGCUUAUACCACUGAGUGAAUACUGAAUUACAUAAAACAAAAACAAGCUCUGUGAAUGAGAAUUCUCUAGGGAGCUGCCAAACAUGCCAAACAGUAACAAUAUUUGUAUGUAAGUCUUAGGGGGAUGAUCUAGUGCCCUCUCCAGUAGCUGCUAGAUUGUUGAGUUUUACAGCUACUGUUGUUGCAAGACUGAUUAUUUUGAAGGAUAUUGCAGAGCUGUGGCAAGGGGGAUGCAAAUAGAGAAAAUUAACAUGCCACAAAACUGGCUGUCGUUAUGAAGACUCAGCUAUUUUUCUUCAAAAAAAUGCUCCUUGUAAUGUUGCAAGCCUUUGGUAAUUUCUAGAAUGUAAAAAAAGUUGAUUUUGACCAUUUUUUGGGCAAGUGUUUUUUGUGCUUAUGUUGGAGCUGACUUAUUUUGUUAUUCCAGAACUCUUGCGUGAUGGUCUUUUAACUGGAAUGCCUACUUAUUACUCUUUUCCCCUCACAAUACAGUCUUGAUAGAGAAGCCUAAGAGAACUAGUAAAAGUAUAAAUCAGAUCAUAUCACUACUCUGACAAAAAACUUUUGAAUUGGUAUUUCUUAAUGUUUAGAAUUAAAUUUAAGUUUCUGAUUAUGGUCUACAAACCAUUUUGGCUUAAGAGACUUUAUAAGUGAGGUUCAAAAGCAGCAAAAAGGUAGCAAAAAGAGCAUGGGGAAUUACUUUGAAGCUGAUAUCUAUACAAAUCACAUUUCAUUUUAGGGGGAGGUGGAGUGUUGCUUUUGUUUGCUACUGACAAUUGUAGUGAUACAACUCUCUUAUCUGUUGGAUUAUCUUGGCUCCUAACUGGACUUUUAUUGCAUCAUCUCUUUCCCCUUAGAAACUACAAAUUGCUGAUUUCUGAAAGCCUGUUCUUCCCUAUUACAUUAUUCUCCUCUCAUUAGUUGUCUGUUUACUUUUACAUCUGAAUUUUAAUCUAUUGUUGUAGACAAGGAGCUGUGCAACUCCAUUCCCCCUUCAACGAAGGAAUUAUUGCCCAACCCUGAAGAUGGUAGCCAACCAAGAAUUUCCUACAUUCAGUUCCUUUGGGCCAGGCUCAGUUGCAGGGAGGAAACGUCACUGAGGUUGUGCAUUCACAACCCAUGCAAUAGAAAUCUCAGCUGGAGAAAAGCACAGUGAUCAUGGUUCAGGGAUUUCAGAGACGAGUGUUUGCUUCAUACCAUCAGAAAAAGAGGCCUGCAGCAAUCCUGGAGAGGCUGUCACUCUAAUGUUUAUGGAAAAGUCAGUAGAAGCAGC